rnacentral:rRNA from 1 species
GUACACAAAAAUGCACAUACUGUGAGCUCGAUGAGUAGGGCGGGACACGUGGUAUCCUGUCUGAAUAUGGGGGGACCAUCCUCCAAGGCUAAAUACUCCUGACUGACCGAUAGUGAACCAGUACCGUGAGGGAAAGGCGAAAAGAACCCCGGCGAGGGGAGUGAAAAAGAACCUGAAACCGUGUACGUACAAGCAGUGGGAGCCUCUUAAUGGGGUGACUGCGUACCUUUUGUAUAAUGGGUCAGCGACUUAUAUUCUGUAGCAAGGUUAACCGAAUAGGGGAGCCGAAGGGAAACCGAGUCUUAACUGGGCGUUAAGUUGCAGGGUAUAGACCCGAAACCCGGUGAUCUAGCCAUGGGCAGGUUGAAGGUUGGGUAACACUAACUGGAGGACCGAACCGACUAAUGUUGAAAAAUUAGCGGAUGACUUGUGGCUGGGGGUGAAAGGCCAAUCAAACCGGGAGAUAGCUGGUUCUCCCCGAAAGCUAUUUAGGUAGCGCCUCGUGAAUUCAUCUCCGGGGGUAGAGCACUGUUUCGGCAAGGGGGUCAUCCCGACUUACCAACCCGAUGCAAACUGCGAAUACCGGAGAAUGUUAUCACGGGAGACACACGGCGGGUGCUAACGUCCGUCGUGAAGAGGGAAACAACCCAGACCGCCAGCUAAGGUCCCAAAGUCAUGGUUAAGUGGGAAACGAUGUGGGAAGGCCCAGACAGCCAGGAUGUUGGCUUAGAAGCAGCCAUCAUUUAAAGAAAGCGUAAUAGCUCACUGGUCGAGUCGGCCUGCGCGGAAGAUGUAACGGGGCUAAACCAUGCACCGAAGCUGCGGCAGCGACACUAUGUGUUGUUGGGUAGGGGAGCGUUCUGUAAGCCUGCGAAGGUGUACUGUGAGGUAUGCUGGAGGUAUCAGAAGUGCGAAUGCUGACAUAAGUAACGAUAAAGCGGGUGAAAAGCCCGCUCGCCGGAAGACCAAGGGUUCCUGUCCAACGUUAAUCGGGGCAGGGUGAGUCGACCCCUAAGGCGAGGCCGAAAGGCGUAGUCGAUGGGAAACAGGUUAAUAUUCCUGUACUUGGUGUUACUGCGAAGGGGGGACGGAGAAGGCUAUGUUGGCCGGGCGACGGUUGUCCCGGUUUAAGCGUGUAGGCUGGUUUUCCAGGCAAAUCCGG